AGUGAGAAUCAGUGGGGGUGGAGUCCGGGACCUCUGUUUUAACAAGUUCUCCAGGUGACCCUUAUGCAUGCUAAAAUUUAGGAACCACACAUCUAGAGUAAGCAUGACACUAACUAAGACAGAAGGCAGCACCAGGAAUCUGGGAAUGUCACCAGGAUUUCAAAUAUCUGACCCAGGAACCAGAGUCUGAAGUUGGCACCAGAGAAACCACAAGGACCAACAAAAUAUGAGGCACGUAAGUGAGGCCAUCAACCACCAACUGACCAUCAAAACAUGAGUGAGCAAAGAUGACACCACAUGGAGCAGCAAUGAGCCAUUCCAGCUGAAUCCAGCCCCAAUUUAUCACCCACAGAAGUCACAUAGGAGACUGUCAGCAGCUGGGAUAAUUGGAAUGGGACGUGAGAACGCUUUUGGCCAGAUGCCCUCUGGAAAUAACACUCUACCAGUUUGCUCAACUUGGAAAGCUUCAUUCCAUCCUUGAAUUGUGUGAGAAUUUCCCACUCAACAGCUGUUGGCCAACUGAGAGCUAAUUAAUCCUAGAGCAUAAAUAAUAGCUAAUCAUGGAGGUCUCUUCCUCCCAACAAUCGGGGCUCCAGAUGCUGGGCAAGUGUUCGAAAUGGCAGCUCCAAGGAUAAGGCUAAAUUGUGGUAUCUGAAAAUGUCAUCUGGGAAUUGUCUGCCUCAGAACCACAGAAAUGCUAAUUAAAAAUGCAGAUUCUUGGGCCAAAUUUCAAGUUGACAGAUUCAGUCUCCCACAUGACUCUUGUUUUCAUAACAUCUGAGAAUCACUGCAUUGUUUGGCUUUGGGAGAUUUGAGGGGCUGAGAAUUUUGUCUCUAGUUUAAAUUUUUCU
rnacentral:lncRNA from 1 species